ACGCACGCUGGCGGCAUGCCUAACCCCUGCAAGUCGCACGAGACCUUCGGGUCUAGUGGCGCACGGGUGCGUAACGCGUGGGAACCUGCCCUUAGGUUCGGAAUAACUCCCCGAAAGGGGUGCUAAUACCGGAUAAUGUCUUCGGACCAAAGAUUUAUCGCCUUUGGAUGGGCCCGCGUUGGAUUAGCUAGUUGGUAGGGUAAAAGCCUACCAAGGCGACGAUCCAUAGCUGGUCUGAGAGGAUGAUCAGCCACACUGGGACUGAGACACGGCCCAGACUCCUACGGGAGGCAGCAGUGGGGAAUAUUGGACAAUGGGCGAAAGCCUGAUCCAGCAAUGCCGCGUGAGUGAUGAAGGCCUUAGGGUUGUAAAGCUCUUUUACCCGGGAUGAUAAUGACAGUACCGGGAGAAUAAGCUCCGGCUAACUCCGUG
rnacentral:rRNA from 1 species